rnacentral:rRNA from 1 species
UACGGAGGGUGCAAGCGUUGCUCGGAAUUAUUGGGCGUAAAGGGUAGGUAGGUGGUCUUAUUUGUCUAGGGUGAAAGCCUUGAGCUUAACUCAAGAAGUGCCCUAGAAACGGUAAGACUAGAGUCCUGGAGAGGGUCGUGGAAUUCCCGGUGUAGCGGUGAAAUGCGUAGAGAUCGGGAGGAACACCAGAGGCGAAAGCGGCGACCUGGACAGGAACUGACACUCAAAUACGAAAGCGUGGGGAGCAAACAGG